GGCUCAGAAAGCUCCUAACUUCCCUUUUCUACCAAGUUCACUGAGCUUGAAAGAGUUAACAUGCAAAUAGCAUUUUACAACUACUAAGGAGAGACUGAAAUAUGGGAGAAAAGAAAAUGGUUGUCUGUUGCUGUCUCCUUAAGAAGAGUCAUGAGGCGGAGAGAGCUCAGAAGCCUUGGCUGGUGUGGAGAGCCCACGGCAGGGGGCCCAGGAGAGCCCACUGGCGGCGGGCCACAGCAUCUUCUAGGCUGACUCCAAGCUGUCCGAGUGAGCCCCAGCAUCUGCUCUUCACGGCCCAGGGACACCCUUGAGUCUCUGCAGUCGGUGCGGGAGGGUCUGUGGCGGACGACUUGCCUGUGUGGUUUUGUUUUCCUUUGUCUACAUUUGGUUGGCAUAAACACUUCUGAAAAAUGGGCUGCAGCUGAUGCCUUUUAGUUUGGUUCCUUUAACGAGGGGUUUAUAAAACGACUCUUACCAUGCAGAACACAUGUUCUCGGUAUACAGUUACUUGAUGGAUUGAAACAGUGCUGAGGGAGGCAGAACACAUGGUUUAAAAUAUUCCUAAAAUGCAUAAUUACCCCGUGGACCAAUCGGGUACAUAAUAUACAUUUUAAUACACCAUUUAAUUGCUGUUUACCUAGGAGACAGGAACUUUUCUGGUCUCUUGGGUUAAACUACAGAUUUUUAGAAACUGUCUAAACACAUAUUUACUUGAUUCAUUCUGGUCUCUUGGGUGAAGAAUCCUUUUCCAAU
rnacentral:lncRNA from 1 species